GACGUAGGGCGCGAGCGUUGUCCGGAUUUAUUGGGCGUAAAGAGCUCGUAGGCGGCUUGUUGCGUCGACUGUGAAAACCCGCGGCUUAACUGCGGGCUUGCAGUUGAUACGGGCAGGCUAGAGUUCGGUAGGGGAGACUGGAAUUCCUGGUGUAGCGGUGAAAUGCGCAGAUAUCAGGAGGAACACCGGUGGCGAAGGCGGGUCUCUGGGCCGAUAUCGACGCUGAGGAGCGAAAGCGUGGGGAGCGAACAGG
rnacentral:rRNA from 1 species